GGCUGACAUGUGAGCGUGGGGCCAACAGAGAGCGCAGAAGUUUCUGGAGGUUUCACCUCAAUGGGCAGAUAACCCCCGACUUUGAACUGGAGAACAGAAAGUGGACAGUGGAUGAUUCCGGAGACCAACGGUUAAAGGACAUGUUGGACAGUGACAGAGAGCUGACCGAGUUCCUCAUGAGGGUCUCAGACGGAGACUGUAUGAGCUGGCUCCAGCAAGUAUCAGAGCACUUGGAGGAAAUGCGGGAGACAACAGAGACUGAAGUUGUUACCAAGAAACCCCUGAGGACGUGCUCUCCUUCCGCUCUCUCCCUUCUGGUGGGCGGCCUGGCUUCCACCUGCUGUUCAUGUCGACCAACAGGACCUUCGAUGCCUGUGGCAAAGGCGGAAUCCUCCAAUCCCCCAGGAGAUUGUGAUUGUGACGGAGGUGCAGUAUUGCACUGCGUUCAUUCUCGGUCAUGAGGAUUCUUCUCUGCACUUUUUCUUUUUUUUUUUUUCUUUUUUUUUUAAUAAUUUUUAUUUUAUUGUAUUAGUGACCAUACAGUACAUCCCCAGUUUUUGAUGCAGUGUUCCAUAAUUCAUUAUUUGCAUAUAACACCCAGUGCACCAUGCAAUACGUGCCCUCCUUACUACCCAUCACCAGCCUAUCCCAUUCCCCCUCCUCCCUCCCCUCUGAAGCCCUCAGUUUGUUUCUGAGUCCUGUGUCUCCCAUCUGCACUUUUUCUUAACUCUCAUCCUCUGGUACUAAUUCUUGGGAUUCCUGCACUUUGCCUUCUAAUUACUUGAACAAGAAUUCUGAACAAAGAGAAUAUUUCCCGAAUUCUCCUUUGGUAUCGGAAAUCAGACACUUAUCAACGUCAUAAGCUGUUUGUUGGUAAAAGAAUACUAUGUGAAGGUAGAGAAACUCAUGGUUCUUUCUCUCUUUUGAGACUCAGGUCUUUUAAAGAGAACAGUAUUAUAUUUGUGGUAGUUUCCUUUAGUAAUUUAUCCUUUAAUAGACAUUUAAAUAAGUAUUUGAAGAAAAUAUUCAUUAAAUAGCGAAUUAUUUCAGAAGUUUACAUUAUAACUCAGGGGAAAGAAAUAACAUCCAGUCUCCCUUUAUGUUAGGGAGUAAAUAAAACUAGUGAUUCUGCUAGAUUUCUUGUGGAA
rnacentral:lncRNA from 1 species